GCCUUCUGUAAAUUGUGUGCUGUCCCUCUGGGUGAAAUGCCCCUGGCUUGAUUGGCAGUUGUCUCCCGGUAAGCAUUUCAUGCAGAAGAUGUUCCUUAUCAGUCAUGGCCAUAUUGCAGGUCAUGUAAAUCUCCAGUGCUGCUUGUGGACUCUGCUACAAGAUUGAUGGGAUCUUCUGAGAAAUCUCUGUACCAUGAGACUGGACUACAUGCAGCUGUGGGAAAAAUUCUCCUACAUUUGUCUCUUUCUUGUUAUGAACCAAGGGAAUGUGCACUGGCUACCUUUCUAUUCUAAGGCCCUGGAGCUGGGGGUCCGUUUUCUCAAGAAGCGUUAAAAGCUUCCUCGGAAGGUCAUUUAGUGUAUUGACAGCAUCACGUGUGUUAAGUAUCGUGCUUAGCACACUGGCAGCAUCUGACAGAAGGUUGUUCUUCUUGUGGUAAUGGUAUGUAAAGUCUGAGACCGGGAAAGGGUGGUGCUGGGUGCUAGGCUCGGGAAAGCAGUUAUAUCAAUUUGUC
rnacentral:lncRNA from 1 species